CACGUAUUUAGCCGUCGCUUCUUCUGUUGGUACCGUCACUUUCUUCUUCCCAACUGAAAGCACUUUACAAUCCGAAGACCGUCAUCGUGCACACAGAAUUGCUGGAUCAGGCUUGUGGCCCAUUGUCCAAUAUUCCCCACUGCUGCCUCCCGUAGGAGUAAGGGCCGUGUCUCAGUCCCCUUGUGGCCGUUCACCCUCUCAGGCCGGCUAUCCAUCGUCGCCUUGGUGGGCCAUUACCCCCACCAACUAGCUAAUGGAACGCAAGGCUCUCUUUUGGCGCAUAUAGCUUUCAUAAGUUCUCCAUGCGAAGAUCUUAUAAUAUCCGGUAUUAGCUGUCGUUUCCAACAGUUGUCCCAGUCCAAAAGGCAAGUUCCUUACGCGUUACUCACCCGUCCGCCAUCCUCCAUUUCCCGAAAGAAACUUCGAAUCGACUUGCAUGUGUUAAGCAUUCUGUCAGCGUUCAUCCUGAGCCAGGAUCAAACUCU
rnacentral:rRNA from 1 species